rnacentral:rRNA from 1 species
CCCUUAGAUGUCCGGGGCCGCACGCGCGCUACACUGAAGGAAUCAGCGUGGCUUUCUCCCUGACCCGAAAGGGUUGGGAAACCCGUUGAAUCUCCUUCGUGAUAGGGAUUGGGGCUUGAAAUUGUUCCCCAUGAACGAGGAAUUCCCAGUAAGCGCGAGUCAUAAGCUCGCGUUGAUUACGUCCCUGCCCUUUGUACACACCGCCCGUCGCUACUACCGAUUGAGCGGUUCAGUGAGGGCCUCGGAUUGGUCUCGGUCUGGCGUGCAAGCGCCGGCACCGUUGGCCGAGAAGACGCUCGAACUCGAUCGCUUGGAGAAAGUAAAAGUCGUAACA